rnacentral:rRNA from 1 species
UGGGGAAUAUUGCACAAUGGGCGCAAGCCUGAUGCAGCCAUGCCGCGUGUAUGAAGAAGGCCUUCGGGUUGUAAAGUACUUUCAGCGGGGAGGAAGGGAGUAAAGUUAAUACCUUUGCUCAUUGACGUUACCCGCAGAAGAAGCACCGGCUAACUCCGUGCCAGCAGCCGCGGUAAUACGGAGGGUGCAAGCGUUAAUCGGAAUUACUGGGCGUAAAGCGCACGCAGGCGGUUUGUUAAGUCAGAUGUGAAAUCCCCGGGCUCAACCUGGGAACUGCAUCUGAUACUGGCAAGCUUGAGUCUCGUAGAGGGGGGUAGAAUUCCAGGUGUAGCGGUGAAAUGCGUAGAGAUCUGGAGGAAUACAGGUGGCGAAGGCGGCCCCCUGGACGAAGACUGACGCUCAGGUGCGAAAGCGUGGGGAGCAAACAGG